GACGAACGCUGGCGGCGCGCUUAACACAUGCAAGUCGAGCGAGAACCAGGCCUUCGGGCCUGGGGACAGCGGCGAACGGGUGAGUAACACGUGGUUAAUCAACCCUCGGUACUGGGAUAUCCCGGGUAAACCCGGAUUAAUAACGGAUGGCCCUUCGGAUCCUCGGAUCUGAAGGAAAAGGUAGCUUCGGCCUCCGACCGCGGACGAGGCCGGGGCGGAUUAGCUUGUUGGUGGGGUAACGGCCUACCAAGGCGGCGAUCCGUAGCUGGUCUGAGAGGACGAUCAGCCACACUGGGACUGAGACACGGCCCAGACUCCUACGGGAGGCAGCAGUGGGGAAUCUUGCGCUAAUGCGGGAAACCGUGACGCAGCGACGCCGCGUGAGGGAAGAAGGCCUUCGGGUUGUAAACCUCUUUCAGGAGGGACGAAGCUACUCGGGUUAAUGGCCCAGAGGGUGACGUUACCUCCAGAAGAAGCCCCGGCUAACUACGUGCCAGCCGCCGCCGUAACAC
rnacentral:rRNA from 1 species